rnacentral:rRNA from 1 species
CCUACGGGUGGCAGCAGUGGGGAAUAUUGGGCAAUGGGCGCAAGCCUGACCCAGCAACGCCGCGUGAAGGAAGAAGGCUUUCGGGUUGUAAACUUCUUUUCUCAGGGACGCAGAAAGUGACGGUACCUGAGGAAUAAGCCACGGCUAACUACGUGCCAGCAGCCGCGGUAAGACGUAGGUGGCAAGCGUUAUCCGGAUUUAGUGGGGGUAAAGGGCGUGUAGGCGGGAGCGCAAGUCAGAUGUGAAAACUCAGGGCCCAACCCUGAGCCUGCAUUUGAAACUGUCUUUCUUGAGUGCUGGAGAGGUAAGCGGAAUGCCGGGUGUAGCGGUGAAAUGCGUAGAUAUACGGAGGAACACCAGUGGCGAAGGCGGAUUGCUGGCCAGUAACUGACGCUGAGGCGCGAAAGCGUGGGGAGCAAACAGGAUUAGAUACCCGUGUAGUC